rnacentral:tmRNA from 1 species
GGGGCCGACUGGAUUUGACAGCGGGCCGGACGUAUGAGUAAGCAUGCAGUGCGGGCGUGAACGGGCACUUAAAUCUCGGUUCUCAACAAUUUAACUGGCAACAACAGCUAUGCUCUCGCUGCCUAACCGAAGUACAGUAGGUUAGCUUCAUCCCCGCUCCAGGAGUAGGGACGAGACGUCGCCCAAGCGCCCUUUUCCCGAGGCGGCUUGAACCGGCGGCGCAGAUAAAUCGGGAAUAGCCAGCGGCCCGUCUCCGGCCUAAGGCGAAGCUCCUAUGGAGACUAAGGCAGAGGUUGGUGGCUCUGGUCUUGCCGCUGCACGAAAAACCAGUCAGAGAUAAGCAUGUAGAAAGCUUGUGCUUUCCCCGUUUGGACGAGGGUUCGAUUCCCUCCGGCUCCACAU